UUCUUAUCAAGAGAAGCAGAGGGAACUGGCCCGAUGACGCUUCAGCAACCAACAGUUAUGUAUGGUGCUAAAUCCAGCGGUUAUCCGGAAGAUAAGAA
rnacentral:ncRNA from 2 species